rnacentral:rRNA from 1 species
GAUGAACGCUGGCGGCGUGCCUAAUACAUGCAAGUCGAGCGAACAGACGAGGAGCUUGCUCCUCUGACGUUAGCGGCGGACGGGUGAGUAACACGUGGAUAACCUACCUAUAAGACUGGGAUAACUUCGGGAAACCGGAGCUAAUACCGGAUAAUAUAUUGAACCGCAUGGUUCAAUAGUGAAAGACGGUUUUGCUGUCACUUAUAGAUGGAUCCGCGCCGCAUUAGCUAGUUGGAAAGGUAACGGCUUACCAAGGCAACGAUGCGUAGCCGACCUGAGAGGGUGAUCGGCCACACUGAAACUGAGACACGGUCCAGACUCCUACGGGAGGCAGCAGUAGGGAAUCUUCCGCAAUGGGCGAAAGCCUGACGGAGCAACGCCGCGUGAGUGAUGAAGGUCUUCGGAUCGUAAAACUCUGUUAUUAGGGAAGAACAAAUGUGUAAGUAACUAUGCACGUCUUGACGGUACCUAAUCAGAAAGCCACGGCUAACUACGUG